rnacentral:rRNA from 1 species
UACGUAGGGUGCAAGCAUUAAUCGGAAUUAUUGGGCGUAAAGGGCGUGUAGGCGGAUUUGUAAGUCAGAUGUGAAAUUUCGGGGCUCAACCUCGAAGCUGCAUUUGAAACUGUGAAUCUGGAGGGUUGACGGAGAAAACGGAAUUCCACGUGUAGCGGUGAAAUGCGUAGAUAUGUGGAAGAACACCAGUGGCGAAAGCGGUUUUCUAGUUAACACCUGACGCUGAGGCGCGAGAGCAAGGGGAGCAAACAGG